AAGAGCGGCGGACGGGUGAGUAACACGUGGGCAACCUGCCUGUAAGACUGGGAUAACCCCGGGAAACCGGGGCUAAUACCGGAUAACACCGGACUCCACAUGGAGUCGGGUUGAAAGAUGGCUUCUCGCUAUCACUUACAGAUGGGCCCGCGGCGCAUUAGCUAGUUGGUGAGGUAACGGCUCACCAAGGCGACGAUGCGUAGCCGACCUGAGAGGGUGAUCGGCCACACUGGGACUGAGACACGGCCCAGACUCCUACGGGAGGCAGCAGUAGGGAAUCUUCCGCAAUGGACGAAAGUCUGACGGAGCAACGCCGCGUGAACGAUGAAGGUCUUCGGAUCGUAAAGUUCUGUUGUCAGGGAAGAACAAGUGCCGUGCGAAUAGAGCGGCACCUUGACGGUACCUGACGAGGAAGCCCCGGCUAACUACGUGCCAGCAGCCGCGGUAAUACGUAGGGGGCAAGCGUUGUCCGGAAUUAUUGGGCGUAAAGCGCGCGCAGGCGGUUCCUUAAGUCUGAUGUGAAAGCCCACGGCUCAACCGUGGAGGGUCAUUGGAAACUGGGGAACUUGAGUACAGAAGAGGAGAGUGGAAUUCCACGUGUAGCGGUGAAAUGCGCAGAUAUCUU
rnacentral:rRNA from 1 species